AAGGGGACUCAGAGCAGCUGUAUGUACAUACAAUAUAUGAUAUUAUUAGCAUAGCACAAUAUUAGCAUUAUACAUUACUAUAUUGAACUAUACCACUAUACUGUAAUACUAUAUGUAAUAUAUAACAUAUAAUUAAUAUUAUUAUAUGGUAUUAUUAUUAGUAUUAUAUGGUAUAACAUUAUAAUAUUUUUAUCAAUAUUAUAUGUAUAUACAAUAUAUUAUAUUAUUAAAACAGAUAUAAAAAUAUAUUAUAAAACUGAGGGUGGGGGCCAGGAAAAUGACUUUGGAGGGCCGCAUCCGGCCCCCGGGCCUUAGUUUGGGGACCCCUGCUCUAAAUGAUAAGAGCCAUCUGGCCAGGGAUGGGUUUUAUGGACAGCUCUGGUUUCUCAAGCCUGGGAAAGGACUAUCUAACAGAUAUGUGUGAAUGUGGGGAGGGGGGGAGGUAGGAUGUAGAUAUACUCGGGGUUUGGCAGGAAUAUGUCAGUUUUAGCUUCGUUUUCAUCUUGUAAAGAAGAUCUUCAAUAAAGCGUUUCCACGGAGCUGCCUGUGUGAGCCUGCUUGAGUCCUAUAGCUUUCAAGAGCUGCCAGGACAUGGCCAGGAAGUGGGGAGGGAGGAAGUGGCUCUGUCCCCUCCCCUUGUGCCCAAACAGGGCUGAAACCUGCUUGCUUUGGGGGGGGGGGGGUCUCCUCUAUGUUCCUUUGGGGAGGGGGCCACUGCAUUGUUUGCAUCGCCCUCCCCGUUGACACCUGCAUUGACUUCCUUCCUUCCAUCUAUCCAUGGAUCCCACAGAUUGAAAGCAGAUUAUUGAGUCCCAACGUGCCCAGGCGUGUAGACGGCUUUUGAACUGUUUCAACAACCCUUUGGCACCUGCCUUGACUCGUUCAAUGGGCUUCCAGGUGCCUUGGACCGUUUCCCAUCCCCUCAAGCCGCUCCCAUCGGUUUUACUUGGUGCCAUAAUAGGAGUCCCAGAGAUAAAGAUUUUGAUAAGCACAUUAUACUGUGAUGCACAAUUAUUGUUCCUGGGUUAUCAUAACAAUAUAGGAAAGGUUUAUUAAAUUGCCCAAACUUGGUUCUGCAUGGGGGACAUCCUGCUAUAGUACAUUAUAUUGUAAUAUGUUAUUUUAUAUUACUACUAGCUGUGCCCGGCCACGCAUUGCUGUGGCGUAUGGGAAUUCUUUGUUAGGUAGGUGGAAUAGAAAGGAAUAGGCUUGCUGCUUGGAAGGUUAGGUACUUGCCUUUUAGGGGAAUGUUUUUUUGGGGUGGUAGAAUUGUAAUGAAUAGCCUCGGUGGUUCAAAGCCUGGGUGCUUGCUACCUAGGGGAAAUCUUUGGUUGGUCAGCUUCAGAGUAGUAUCACUGUUUCAAAGCCUGGUCGCCUUUUACGAAGGUUAAUCUUUUAUUGGUCUGGUUGAAUUGCACUGAAUAUCCUUGCAGCUCCAAUGUCUGGCUGUAUUUAUUAUUUUGUAUUUUAUAUAUAUAUUACAAAAUAUAGAAAGCAUGGCACAUUG